GGAAGGCCUGUAGCUCAGUGGUACAGCCUCUGAUUUGCAUACAGAAGGUUCUGGGUUCAAUCCCCAACAUCUCCA
rnacentral:tRNA from 1 species